UCCGGCCGAAUAUCUAAGGUUUCCAGAGUAAAGCUGAUCUGCUCUGGGUAAGUCGGGGCCUAAGGCGAGGUCGAAAGACGUAGUCGAUGGAUAACAGGUUGAAAUUCCUGUACUAUCCUGUAACAGAACUGUGGGGACACAGGCAGAGAGCGUGAGCCGGGAAUGGAAAGACCGGUACAAGCGAGGUAGGAGAAGAGUUGGCAAAUCCGCUCUUUAAUCUGAAGACGUGAUGUGGACUGAAAAUAAGUAGGGAAGCACGUGAGCUGACUGUCAAGAAAAGCCGCUAUUGUUUGCAGGAUACCCGUACCGUAAACCGACACAGGUGGAUGAGGAGAGAAUCCUAAGGCCGACGGGAGAAGCAUUGUUAAGGAACUCGGCAAAAUGACUCCGUAACUUCGGGAGAAGGAGUGCCAGUAAGAUGGCCGCAGAGAAUUGGCCCAAGCAACUGUUUAGCAAAAACACAGGUCUAUGCAAAACCGAAAGGUGAGGUAUAUGGGCUGACGCCUGCCCGGUGCUGGAAGGUUAAGGGGAGAGGUUAGCGCAAGCGAAGCUUUGAACUUAAGCCCCAGUAAACGGCGGCCGUAACGAUAACGGUCCUAAGGUAGCGAAAUUCCUUGUCGGGUAAGUUCCGACCCGCACGAAAGGCGUAAUGAUUUGGGCACUGUCUCAACAAUGCACCCGGUGAAAUUGAAAUACCAGUGAAGAUGCUGGUUACCUGCGCCAGGACGGAAAGACCCCAUGGAGCUUUACUCCAGCUUGAUACUGGGAUUCGGUAUUGCAUGUACAGGAUAGGUGGGAGGCUAGGAAAUGGUAACGCCAGUUGCCAUGGAGCCAAUGUUGGGAUACCACCCUUGCAGUACUGGGUUUCUAACCAGCAGCCGUGAUCCGGCUGGGGGACAAUGUCAGGUGGGGAGUUUGACUGGCGGUCGCCUCCGAAAGGGUAUCGGAGGCGCUCAAAGGUUCCCUCAGAAUGGUUGGAAACCAUUCGAAGAGUGCAAAGGCAGAAGGGAGCUUGACUGCGACACCGACGGGUGGAGCAGGUACGAAAGUAGGACUUAGUGAUCCGGUGGUAUAAAGUGGGAUUGCCAUCGCUCAACGGAUAAAAGCUACCCUGGGAUAACAGGCUUAUCACUCCCAAGAGUUCACAUCGACGGAGUGGUUUGGCACCUCGAUGUCGGCUCAUCGCAUCCUGGGGCUGAAGUAGGUCCCAAGGGUUGGGCUGUUCGCCCAUUAAAGCGGUACGCGAGCUGGGUUCAGAACGUCGUGAGACAGUUCGGUCCCUAUCCGGCGUGGGCGUAAGAUAUUUGAGAGGAGCUGUCCUUAGUACGAGAGGACCGGGAUGGACUGGCCGCUGGUGUAUCUGUUGUCUUACCAAAGGCAUAGCAGAGUAGCCAAGCCGGGAAGGGAUAAACGCUGAAGGCAUCUAAGCGUGAAGCCCCCCUCAAGAUGAGAUAUCUCAUAACGUCAAGUUAGUAAGACCCCUUGAAGACGACGAGGUAGAUAGGGCAGAGGUGGAAGUGUGGUAACACAUGGAGCUGACUGUUACUAAUAGGUCGAGGGCAUAACC
rnacentral:rRNA from 1 species